rnacentral:rRNA from 1 species
AUGGCCGCCAUCGUCGAGCAAGUCAUGGGGUGGUUCCCGAGGCCGGCGGUGCCCAGGCCAUCGCAAAGCCCCCCUCCCUCGCUGCCGCGGGGUACGACAGCGAGGACCGCGUCAGCGCCCUCCCAGACGACCUCCUCCGCAACAUCGUCUCACGCUUCCCAGUCAAGGACGCCGCCCGCACCACCUCCCUCGCCUCCCGCUGGCGCCACCUCUGGCGAUCCGCCCCGCUCGUCCUCCGCGACGUAG